GCUUGACNUAUACCGGAACGUUCAGAANNGNUCGCCCCGCAAGGUCGGUAUACAGGUGGUGCAUGGUUGUCGUCAGCUCGUGUCGUGAGAUGUUGGGUUAAGUCCCGCAACGAGCGCAACCCUCGUCGUAUGUUGCCAGCACGUAAUGGUGGGAACUCAUAUGAGACUGCCGGGGUCAACUCGGAGGAAGGUGGGGAUGACGUCAAAUCAUCAUGCCCCUUAUGUCUUGGGCUUCACGCAUGCUACAAUGGCUGGUACAAUGGGCUGCAAUACCGCGAGGUGGAGCGAAUCCCAAAAAGCCAGUCUCAGUUCGGAUUGGGGUCUGCAACUCGACCCCAUGAAGUCGGAGUCGCUAGUAAUCGCAGAUCAGCAACGCUACGGUGAAUACGUUCCCGGGA
rnacentral:rRNA from 1 species